rnacentral:lncRNA from 1 species
CCAAACUGACAGCAUUUCGGUAUUGUGUACACAAUAUACGAAGAAACUACAGACUGCACCCCUGCAUCGAGUGACUUCAGAUCUAAUGGAGGAAUGAUUCCAUGAUGGUGAAUUCAGCAAGGAACACUCUGGUAAAACCUUAAACUGUGGAGAUAAUGCAAAAAUCAGUACUAUCUGGGCGUUUCUGGGGACAGAUGGGUAACAGGCACAGCACACGGAUUUUUAGGGCAUUGAAAUGUCUCUGUAUGAGACUAUGUUGGAGGGACAUAUGGCUUCCCACAUUGUCCAAAACGCAGGUAGAUAGCGCCAAGAGCAGGCGGAAUGAAAACGAUGUAUUUUGGGGAGACUGUGCAGUGUCGGGUUCACUGAUUUGCACCCACGGCGGGGAGGGAGGCGUACGGGGUGACAGUGGGGAAGGUGAUCCACGUGCAGAGGCAGGAGUUACGGGUGGAGGUGCUAAGGGGGUGUCUGUGCAUUAGUUAUAAAUUAAAUAAAUAAAUUUUGGUUUUGCCCUUUUUAAAAAUUUUUUCUUUUAACAUCUGAAAAAUACAUUCCAAGACUGGUUCAAGUACCCGUGAUUUCAUGGAACACCCAUCUCUGACAGCCUUUCAGCUUCUUGUCUUUAGGCUGUCUCUAGCAGUCACAAGAUGGCUGCCACAGCUCUGAGCUCUGUAUCUUUCAACGAGCAUAGGGAGGCGUCCUGAGAGAAAGCACACCUAAUGGGGCUAUUUGCCUGGUACGCUCUGACUUCCCUCCCCCAGGAAAGAGUUCUUGGCAAAUGUACAAGAGAUGCCCGCUUUUUUCUUUUCAGCUGUAACUCUGCCACGCUCAGCACCAGAGGAUAAUCCUGGGAAAUGGACCUGCUAUGAUUUGCCUCAGAAUGCUUUUGUCCCGGCUGACCAAAGAAGGAAGAAAAUGGCUUGAAGGAUGAGAAAAAAAAUUGCAUCCAUAUAUAAAUGCGUGUAUACACAGAGAUUCAUUUGUUCAUACAGAGAAUGCACAUUUCUUUACUAUGUAUAGCCAAAGGAAAAUUCAGGGCCUAGUUCCAGGUGACAAAGUCGGGACUACAGGAG